rnacentral:rRNA from 1 species
GACAAUGGGCGCAAGCCUGAUGCAGCAACGCCGCGUGAGUGGAUGACGGCUCUUCGGGUUGUAAACCUCUUUCAGUAGGGAAGAAGCGUAAGUGACGGUACCUGCAGAAGAAGCGCCGGUUAACUACGUGCCACCCCCCGCGGUAAUACGUAGGGCCACGCGUUAUCCGGAUUAUUGGGCGUAAAGAGCUCGUAGGCGGUUUGUCUCGUCUGCCGUGAAAGUCCGGGGCUCAACUCCGGAUCUGCGGUGGGUCGGGCAGACUAGAGUGAUGUAGGGGAGACUGGAAUUCCUGGUGUAGCGGUGAAAUGCGCAGAUAUCAGGAGGAACACCGAUGGCGAAGGCAGGUCUCUGGGCAUUAACUGACGCUGAGGAGCGAAAGCAUGGGGAGCGAACAGGAUUAGAUACCCUGGUAGUCCAUGCCGUAAACGUUGGGCACUAGGUGUGGGGGACAUUCCACGUUUUCCGCGCCGUAGCUAACGCAUUAAGUGCCCCGCCUGGGGAGUACGGCCGCACCAUCCUAA